rnacentral:rRNA from 1 species
GACAGAGGGUGCAAACGUUGUUCGGAAUUACUGGGCGUAAAGCGCGUGUAGGCGGCCCUGCAAGUCGGAUGUGAAAUCCCACGGCUCAACCGUGGAAAUGCAUUCGAAACUGCAGGGCUAGAGUCCUGGAGAGGAAGGUGGAAUGCUUGGUGUAGAGGUGAAAUUCGUAGAUAUCAAGCGGAACACCGGUGGCGAAGGCGGCCUUCUGGACAGUGACUGACGCUGAGACGCGAAAGCGUGGGGAGCAAACAGG